rnacentral:rRNA from 1 species
AACGAACGCUGGCGGCAGGCCUAACACAUGCAAGUCGAGCGCCCUGCAAGGGGAGCGGCGGACGGGUGAGUAACGCGUGGGAAUUUUUCCUGGAGUACGGAACAACCGAGGGAAACUUCGGCUAAUACCGUAUGAUGCCGAGAGGCCAAAGAUUUAUCGCUCUGGGGUGAGCCCGCGUCAGAUUAGGUAGUUGGUGGGGUAAAGGCCUACCAAGCCUGCGAUCUGUAGCUGGUCUGAGAGGACGAUCAGCCACACUGGGACUGAGACACGGCCCAGACUCCUACGGGAGGCAGCAGUGGGGAAUCUUGCGCAAUGGGCGAAAGCCUGACGCAGCCAUGCCGCGUGAGUGAAGAAGGUCUUAGGAUUGUAAAGCUCUUUCGCCCGUGACGAUGAUGACGGUAACGGGAGAAGAAGCCCCGGCUAACUUCGUGCCAGCCGCCGCCGUAAU